AUGAUAGCACUAGCCUCCAUCCUCCUAGCCAUAUCUACUAUGGCAUGGAAGCUCUCCCUAUCUGCGGACUGAAUCAAGGAGGAAUACCUGGAGUGAAGUUUCAUGAUAUACCUCCUUGACUUCUUCUGGUCUGUGUCAAGAGUUUGCCCUGCAAACGGCAACAGCUCCAAGAAUCUGUUGGUGUACUCCUCUAUACUCAUUUCC
rnacentral:lncRNA from 1 species